rnacentral:tRNA from 1 species
AGGGGUAUAGUUCAGUGGUAGAACAUUGGUCUCCAAAACCAAGUGUCGUGGGUUCAAGUCCUGCUACCCCUG